rnacentral:rRNA from 1 species
AGUUGGUCAGGUAACGGCUGACCAAGGCGACGAUGUCUAGGGGUUCUGAGAGGAAGGUCCCCCACACUGGAACUGAGACACGGUCCAGACUCCUACGGGAGGCAGCAGUGAGGAAUAUUGGACAAUGGUCGGAAGACUGAUCCAGCCAUGCCGCGUGAAGGUUACGGUCCUAUGGAUUUUAAACUUCUUUUAUGCGGGAGCAAUAAGGUGCACGUGUGCAUCGAUGAGAGUACCUCAUGAAUAAGCAUCGGCUAACUCCGUGCCAGCAGCCGCGGCAAUACGGAGGAUGCAAGCGUUAUCCGGAUUUAUUGGGUUUAAAGGGUGCGUAGGCGGAAUUAUAAGUCAGCGGUGAAAUUCACAGGCUCAACCUGUGCCGUGCCGUUGAAACUGUAACUCUAGAAUACGGAUGCUGUGGGAGGAAUGUGUAGUGUAGCGGUGAAAUGCAUAGAUAUUACACAGAACACCGAUUGCGAAGGCAUCUCACAAAGUCGUCAUUGACGCUGAGGCACGAAAGUGUGGGGAUCAAACAGGAUUAGAUACCCUGGUAGUCCACUACUGUAAACGAUGAUAACUCGCUGCCGGCGACACACUGUC